CUACGUGCCAGCAGCCGCGGUAAUACGGAGGAUGCGAGCGUUAUCCGGAUUUAUUGGGUUUAAAGGGUGCGUAGGCGGCCUGUUAAGUCAGCGGUGAAAUCUAGGAGCUUAACUCCUAAAUUGCCAUUGAUACUGGCGGGCUUGAGUGUAGAUGAGGUAGGCGGAAUGCGUGGUGUAGCGGUGGAAUGCAUAGAUAUCACGCAGAACUCCGAUUGCGAAGGCAGCUUACUAAGGUACAACUGACGCUGAAGCACGAAAGCGUGGGUAUCAAACAGGAUUAGAUACCCUGGUAGUCCACGCAGUAAACGAUGAUAACUGGGCGUAUGCGAUAUACAGUAUGCUCCUAAGCGAAAGCGUUAAGUUAUCCACCUGGGGAGUACGCCGGCAACGGUGAAACUCAAAGGAAUUGACGGGGGCCCGCACAAGCGGAGGAACAUGUGGUUUAAUUCGACGCAACGCGAGGAACCUUACCAGCGUUUGACAUC
rnacentral:rRNA from 1 species